CCAUCGGAAGUCUAGUGGUAGGACAUGAGCUUCCCAAGCUCAUAGCCCGGGUUCGACUCCCGGUCGGCGCA
rnacentral:tRNA from 1 species